GGCUGUGAGGGCGAUCUGGCUGUGACAUCUCUCACCCCAUUGAUCGCCAGGGUUCAUUCAGCUGAUCUGGCUGGCUAGGCGGUGUCCCCUUCCUCCCUCAACGAUCCAUGUGCGUCCCUCCCGAAGCUGCGCGCUCUGUCGAAGAGGACGACCACCCCCGAUAGAGGAGGACCAUUCCUCGCUCAAGGGUAUACAAGUAGCCGCGCUCCCCUGCUAGAACCUCCAAACAAGCUCUCAAAGUCCAUUUGUGGAGACAUACCUAAGUUGUGUCAAAGUUAAGGAAAGACAUUUAUCAACAAAU
rnacentral:snRNA from 1 species